GGGGAAUUUUCCGCAAUGGGCGAAAGCCUGACGGAGCAAUACCGCGUGAGGGAUGACGGCCUAUGGGUUGUAAACCUCUUUUUUCAGGGAGGAACAAAAUGACGUGUACCCUGAAGAAUAAGCAUCGGCUAACUCCGUGCCAGCAGCCGCGGUAAGANCGGAGGAUGCAAGUGUUAUCCGGAAUCACUGGGCGUAAAGCGUCUGUAGGUGGUUGAAUAAGUCAACUGUUAAAUCUUGAGGCUCAAUCUCAAAACCGCAGUCGAAACUAUUGAANCUAGAGUCUAGUAGGGGUAAAGGGAAUUUCCAGUGGAGCGGUGAAAUGCGUAGAGAUUGGAAAGAACACCGAUGGCGAAGGCACUUUACUGGGCUAUUACUAACACUCAGAGACGAAAGCUAGGGUAGCAAAUGGGAUUAGAUACCCCAGUAGUC
rnacentral:rRNA from 1 species